rnacentral:rRNA from 1 species
UUGCCUACGGGAGGCAGCAGUGGGGAAUAUUGCACAAUGGGGGAAACCCUGAUGCAGCGACGCCGCGUGGGUGAAGGAGUACUUCGGUACGUGAAUCCCUAUCAGCAGGAAAGAAAAUGACGGUACCUGACUAAGAAGCCCCGGCUAACUACGUGCCAGCAGCCGCGGUAAUACGUAGGGGGCAAGCGUUAUCCGGAUUUACUGGGUGUAAAGGGAGCGUAGACGGCAGU